UACGAAGGGGGCUAGCGUUGCUCGGAAUGACUGGGCGUAAAGGGCGCGUAGGCGGCGUCGACCGUCGGAUGUGAAAUUCCUGGGCUUAACCUGGGGGCUGCAUUCGAUACGUCGGUGCUGGAGUGGGGAAGAGGGUCGUGGAAUUCCCAGUGUAGAGGUGAAAUGCGCAGAUAUCGGGAGGAACACCAAUUGCGAAGGCAGCUCGCUGGGACGUCACUGACGGCUGAGACGCGAAAAGCGUGGGGAGCAAACAGGG
rnacentral:rRNA from 1 species